CUUUUAACUCGGGGCUGCGUCAUAAACACGGAGCGCUUGGAAGACCACGAUGUCAUUUUCCUUCUGUCAGGAGGAUCAAAGUGAAGCUACAGGAGUUUCAUUAACGUCAACAACUUGGACCGAACAGUUUGUUUUGCUUGAUGAAGAGCAGGAAGGGCAGCCUGGAGAGAAAGAGAAGCCGGGUUGAGCCCACUACCAUCAUCCAUGUACCACAAGGAAGAUGAGGGAGAGAAAUGAUCCUACCAUUAAAGAGACUGUGAAAAGAACAUUGAGAACAUCACCACUCUACAGGAAGACACAAUCCAGUAAUGGGUGUCAGAAGUUCAGUAGUGAACGACAGGUACUGUGGAAAAAUGUGUGUCAUUGUUGUACAAUGUCCUUUGACUCUGUUUACACAAGGUUAACACAAAAAGGUUUGAUUGUAAAGUGAUAUUGGUAUGAAUUCAUGUUAUUCUCCUCUUCACAAGAAACAAACAAUCCAAAUUACCUGCAGAAAGCCCUUGAUGGACGCUUCAGCUGCAUCGUCAGACUGGCAGUACUGAUGCAUUUACUGAGAGGGGACGUGAGGGCCUACUCUGCGUGCUCAGAGUUCAAGCCCAGCAGGCUGCAGCGGGCCUGACAUAUUCUGGAACAGCAGCACAGUCUUUGGAUGACUCCUCUGAAGAUGAAAACAUGGCGAGUUCUUCUCAAGAGAAGCAGUACAGGUGUGCCUCAGCUCCACGGUCCCUCCUGCAGCCUCCGCUCCUGAUGCUAACCUCAUGUCUCCAUCACACCAAGGAGCAGACCUGGAUUGACAGACCUUUCUCCAGAGCUGCCCCCUCCCUCUGAAACCCCCCUCUCCAAAACACUAUUUGUGUAGUUUUUAAAGUAUUUUUUGCAUGAGAAUUGUUGAUCAUAUCAUUUCCAGCAGAUGCCUUAAUAUAAUGUUUGUGCACAAUAAAUGACAUUGAUCAUAACAUAAUGGUAUUUCCUUGCACUUCUACACCAUGAUAUUGGCAGAUAAGAUGCUGAUUACAUUAAAGCAGUGAAU